rnacentral:rRNA from 1 species
CCCUUAGAUGUUCGGGGCCGCACGCGCGCUACACUGAAUGGAUCAACGUGCCUUUCCCGAGGCUGAAAAGUCGAGGUAAUCCGUUGAACCCCAUUCGUGACGGGGAUAGGAGCUUGCAAUUAUUCUCCUUGAACGAGGAAUUCCCAGUAAGCGCGAGUCAUCAGCUCGCGUUGAUUACGUCCCUGCCCUUUGUUCACACCGCCCGUCGCUACUACCGAUCGGAUUGUCCUGUGAAUUUCUAGGAGAGUUGAGGUCCUGGCGCUUCGGUGUCGGCGACCUCAUGCUUGAAUUGAAUUGAACUGGACUCUCUAGAGGAAGUAAAAGUCGUAACA